rnacentral:tRNA from 1 species
UAGGCAGAAGCUAAUUCAUAGCAUCUAAUUGUUACUUAGAAGAGAGUCUCUAUUUUAAGACCUGCCUAG